rnacentral:rRNA from 1 species
UACGUAGGGUCCGAGCGUUUGUCCGGAAUUAUUGGGCGUAAAGGGCUCGUAGGCGGUUUGUUGCGUCGGGAGUGAAAACUUACAGCUUAACUGUGAGCGUGCUUCCGAUACGGGCAGACUUGAGGUAUUCAGGGGAGAACGGAAUUCCUGGUGUAGCGGUGAAAUGCGCAGAUAUCAGGAGGAACACCAAUUGCGAAGGCGCUCUGGGCGUAACUGACGCUGAGACGAGACUGGGAGCAAACAGG